rnacentral:lncRNA from 1 species
GUAUGAGGGGUCUUCGGUCCAGAAUGGGGGGUUUGGGGGGGGAAAUGGGGGGUCUUUGGUCCAAAAUGGGGGGGCUUGGGGGGGGGAAAUGGUAGUUUUUGGGGGGGAAAUGGUGGUUUUGGGGGGAAAUGGGGGGUCUUGGGGGGGGGAAAUGGGGGUCUUUGGUCCAAAAUGAGGGGUUUGGGGGGGGAAAUGGGGAUUUUUGGGGGGAAAUGGGGGGAUCUGUAUAGAGAAUUAAAGGGAUUUGGGGUGAAAUGAGGGGAUUUGGGGUGAACUAGAAGGAUUUUGGGGGGAAAUGAGGAGAUUUGUGGUGAAGUAAAUGGAUUUUGGGGUGAAAUGAGGGGAUUUGGGGUGAAAGAAAUGGAUUUUGGGGGGAAAUGAGGGGAUUUGGGGUGAAAGAAAUGGAUUUUGGGGGUGAAAUGUGGGGAUCUGGAGAGAAUUAAAGGGAUUUGGGGUGAAAUGAAGGGAUUUGGGGUGAAAAAAUGGAUUAUAGGGGGGAAAUGAGGGGAUCUGGGGUGAAAUAAAGGGAUUUUGGGGUGAAAUGAGGGGAUUUUGGGUGAAGUAAAUGGAUUUUGGGAGGAAAUGAGGGGAUUUGUGGUGAAGUAAAUGGAUUUUGGGGUGAAAUGAGGGGAUUUGGGGUGAAAUAAAGGGAUUUCGGGGGGAAAUGAGGAGGUUUGGGGUGGAAUGAAGAGGUAUUGGGGUGAACCCAGGGGAUUUGGGGUGAAAUAAAGGGAUUUUUGGGGUGAAAUGAGGGGACCUGGAGAGAAUUAAAGGAAUUUUUGGGGUGAAAUGAGGGGAUUGGGGGUGAAGUAAAUGGAUUUUUGGGGUAAAUGAUGGGAUUUGGGGUGAAAUAAAUGGAUUUUAAGGGUAAAAUGAGAGGAUUUGGGGUGAAAUAAAGGGAUUUUAAGGAUGAAAUGAGGGGAUUUGGGGUGGUAUGAAGAGGUUUUGGGGUGAAAUAAAGGGAUUUUGGGGGUGAAAUGAGGGGAUUUGGGGUGAAAUAAAGGGAUUUUGGGGGGGAAAUGAGGGGAUUUGGGGUGAAAGAAAUGGAUUUUGGGGUGAAAUGAGGGGAUUUUGGGUGAAAUAAAGGGAUUUCGGGGGGAAAUGAGGAGAUUUGGGGUGAAGUAAAUGGAUUUUUGGGGUAAAUGAUGGGAUUUGGGGUGAAAUAAAUGGAUUUUAAGGGUAAAAUGAGAGGAUUUGGGGUGAAAUAAAGGGAUUUUAAGGAUGAAAUGAGGGGAUUUGGGGUGGUAUGAAGAGGUUUUGGGGUGAAAUAAAGGGAUUUUGGGGGUGAAAUGAGGGCACCUGGAAAGAAUUAAAGGGAUUUGGGGUAAAAUGAGGGGAUGUGGGGUGAAAUAAAGGGACUUAUGGGGUGAAAUGAGGGGAUUUUAGGGGGAAACGGACCCAAUUUGGGUCGAAACGAUUGGAAUUUGGGGCAACGAAGCGGCACUGAAAGGUGUUGAAGGCAUUUUGGGGGGGAAUAAUGCGAUUUUGGGGCGGAAAAAUGCGAUUUUUUGGGAAAAAAGUGGGGAGAAUUUGGGACGCAAGGAAUGCACUGAGGGAUACGGAGAGCUUUUUGGGGUGAAAUACGUGGAUUUUGGGGACAGAACACAGGCUUGGGGGCUGGGCGGGACGUUUUGGGGUAGAAAAACGGGUUUUUGGGAAGGAAAAGUGCGCCUGAGGGCUGAAAUCGAAGGAUUUCAAGCCGGGAAGGGCGGAUUUUGGGGCGAAAAAGUGCGGUUUUGGGGCUCUUUCCCCUCCUUUCGGAUAGACCGGAAGUGGGGGCCGGAAGGGGCGGGGCUUUGCGUGGCCACGCCCCCUCCGUAAGGCCCCGCCCGCCGCCCUCCCCCCCCCCCCCCCAAUUUAUCGCCGUUAUAUCGCGAUAUCGCCCCCCCCUCCCCUUCCACAAUUACCCCCCCCUCCGCCGAGUAAAAUCCAUCAGAAACGAGGGGAAAAAAAAACCCAAAAACCUUCAAAACGUGGAGGGAGGGGGGUAAAAAAAAAAAACAAAAAACCCCUCAGAGCGACCCGAAACCGCCGCGAUUCUCCUCACAACGCGGCAAGUGCGCCACAAACGGCGGCCGAUGGCCCCGUGAAGAAAAUAAACCCCCCUCCCCCCCCCAAAACGUCCCGGACUGCCCCCAAAACGCCGACCGUUUUCCCUCAAAAUGGGGUAAAAAUGAAAGAAAAACGGCCCUUUUUGGGGGGCCUAGGCCUCACCGCUGGGCCCCGCCGCCGCCGCCGCCUCCUGGCUCGGGG